GGGGAUUUAGCUCAGCGGCAUAAGCACCUGCCUUGCAAGCAGGCGGUCGUGAAUUUGAUUCCCGGUACCUA
rnacentral:tRNA from 1 species